CCUACGGGGGGCAGCAGUGGGGAAUUUUGGACAAUGGGGGAAACCCUGAUCCAGCCAUGCCGCGUGAGUGAAGAAGGCCUUCGGGUUGUAAAGCUCUUUCAGCCGGAACGAAACGAUUACGGAUAAUACCUGUGAUUAAUGACGGUACCGGAAGAAGAAGCACCGGCUAACUACGUGCCAGCAGCCGCGGUAAUACGUAGGGUGCGAGCGUUAAUCGGAAUUACUGGGCGUAAAGCGUGCGCAGGCGGUUUUGUAAGUCAGAUGUGAAAUCCCCGGGCUUAACCUGGGAACUGCGUUUGAAACUGCAAGGCUAGAGUGUGGCAGAGGGGGGUGGAAUUCCACGUGUAGCAGUGAAAUGCGUAGAGAUGUGGAGGAACAUCAAUGGCGAAGGCAGCCCCCUGGGUUAACACUGACGCUCAGGCACGAAAGCGUGGGGAGCAAACAGGAUUAGAUACCCGGGUAGUC
rnacentral:rRNA from 1 species